CAGAUAUAUGAAUGACGUCGAAAAUAUCUAUAAAAUACAUUUUACUGUUCUGACGGUAAUCGUAAUCGGCUCACUCACUGUUACGAUGCUAAAGGUGUUGAAAUUGGAACCGUGUAUGGAAUUCUAUCAACAUUUGGCAUUUACAGUGGCUCAACUGGUUCAUCUACUUGUGUUAGCAAUUCAGGGACAAUGUGUAGUGAACGCUGGCAACGAUAUUUACGAUGCAGUAUGCGAGUCUCUGUGGUAUAAUGGUUCAUGUAAAAUUCAAGCAUUAUACGUACUGAUAUUGAGAAAAAGCUUGAUAUCUCCUCAAUUUACUAUCGGUGGGCUGAAAUCGAUGAAUUUAAGAAGUUUCGUAGAGAUUGUGAAAGUGUCCGUUUCCUACCUUACGGUAUUGCGAUCCACGUAAACAUUGAGACAUUCGCAACUAAAUUGAAACAUAGUAAUUUACGAAGUCUUCACAAUGUGUUCAGUUAUAGUGCACGACUCACAUGUUAUUAAAAUUUAAGUGUUGUUGCGUAUCCGCACUCCUCGCAAAUAUUACCGAAGUGGUACACGUACUAUCACAGUCUCAGUGACGUGGUAAAUAAAUGUGGAGAUACACUUGUUAAAAAUCAACAAUUUCUUCAUUUGCAAAGAGGUUUCUGCAAUGAGAUGUUGCACUUUCGACGGGUCGAAGGAGUCAGCUGAAGAAGAAAACGGUAAUUCUAAAGUUUUGGGGCCUGGCAAGUCGAGGAGAAAUAUUACCGGUAAACGCGGUAAAAGUGACCGCGAUGCAUGUGGUCGCCAAAUGUCUAAUAAACGUAAACGCUUACAAUUUGCGAACGCGCAUUAAUGACUGUGCCGACCAUAAUACCUUUAACUUUUGACGCUGUAGAAUAUAAUCCCCAUAAAACCUUUGAAAAAGUAACAAAACUAGGCCAAGCACCUAGACGACUUUUAGAUCUGUACCUCUAAAACUUACGAAUAAAUUGUAGUUUUCGAAGAAUAUGCGUACGUAACAGAGUGUGUAUUUUGAUACCCGAUCAAAGAAUCAAUGACAGUACCGCUGUACGCGAACCAUUGUAAAUAAAAAUCGUGGAACUAGAACUGACUGCUCGUUGGUGCCGCAACGCAUGUAGAAAUACAUCUAGAAAAGGACACGUUAUUCGGAUAAGAAAGAUGUUAGAAGAACGUUCGCGUAAUGGGAAUACCGUACAAUCAAACCAUUCCAAAUACCUCACAAGACCAAUUGCUGAUAUUGAAAGCUUUCAGACGUUUCAAGAUUAAUUUUUAACGAGCACUAUAUGGUUUCACGUGUUUCGCACCAAUCAUUGAAGACAAUAAGGGUUAGUCAGGCGACGCGUAAUAGCUUCUGCACGUCUAUGAAUUAUUCAAGCAACCACUUAAUGAUAUGACCGACAGCUAUGCGAUCAUUUAUGACGAUCGUAAAUCUUUCUGCUUCUUUUCGCGUAACAAUCAGUCGGGUUUUGGUGUUCGUUUUGCUUCUACCAUGGAUGCCAAGACUAUCAUAAGGCGAUACUUGAAGACCACUAAAACGUUCACUCAAAUUUGCGGAUUAUGGUGUUAUCAAAGUACUUGUUCAAAAUAUUUUGCGCGACUUGUUAUAUUUAUAUUCGCUAUAAUAACUACUUUUAUACAGGUAGCGAAAUUUGUAAUUUCCGAUAGUUUGGAUUCUCUAUCUGACCAGUGUCCAUUU